GGGCGCAAGCCUGAUGCAGCCAUGCCGCGUGUAUGAAGAAGGCCUUCGGGUUGUAAAGUACUUUCAGCAGUGAGGAAGGUGGAUGUGUUAAUAGCGCCUUCAUUUGACGUUAGCUGCAGAAGAAGCACCGGCUAACUCCGUGCCAGCAGCCGCGGUAAUACGGAGGGUGCGAGCGUUAAUCGGAAUUACUGGGCGUAAAGCGCAUGCAGGUGGUUUGUUAAGUCAGAUGUGAAAGCCCGGGGCUCAACCUCGGAAUUGCAUUUGAAACUGGCAGACUAGAGUACUGUAGAGGGGGGUAGAAUUUCAGGUGUAGCGGUGAAAUGCGUAGAGAUCUGAAGGAAUACCGGUGGCGAAGGCGGCCCCCUGGACAGAUACUGACACUCAGAUGCGAAAGCGUGGGGAGCAAACAGGAUUAGAUACCCUGGUAGUCCACGCCGUAAACGAUGUCUACUUGGAGGUUGUGGCCUUGAGCCGUGGCUUUCGGAGCUAACGCGUUAAGUAGACCGCCUGG
rnacentral:rRNA from 1 species